rnacentral:rRNA from 1 species
CACGUAGGGGGCAAGCGUUGUCCGGAUUUAUUGGGCGUAAAGAGCUCGUAGGCGGUUUCGUAAGUCGGGUGUGAAAACUCUAGGCUCAACCUGGAGACGCCACCCGAUACUGCGAUGACUAGAGUCCGGUAGGGGAGUGUGGAAUUCCUGGUGUAGCGGUGAAAUGCGCAGAUAUCAGGAGGAACACCAACGGCGAAGGCAGCACUCUGGGCCGGAACUGACGCUGAGGAGCGAAAGCGUGGGUAGCGAA